rnacentral:rRNA from 1 species
UACAGAGGUCUCAAGCGUUGUUCGGAUUCAUUGGGCGUAAAGGGUGUGUAGGUGGCGCGCUCAAGUCGGGUGUGAAAUUCGGAGCUUAACUCCGAAACUGCAUUCGAUACUGGCGUGCUUGAGGACUGGAGAGGAGACUGGAAUUCCUGGUGUAGCAGUGAAAUGCGUAGAUAUCAGGAGGAACACCGAUGGCGAAGGCAGGUCUGCUGGGCUGACACUGGACGCUCAUGCACGAAAGCGUGGGGAGC